rnacentral:rRNA from 1 species
UACGUAGGGUGCAAGCGUUAAUCGGAAUUACUGGGCGUAAAGCGUGCGCAGGCGGCUUUGCAAGACAGAUGUGAAAUCCCGGGGCUCAACCCCGGAACUGCAUUGGAUACUGCCUUGCUAGAGUACUGGAGAGGGAACUGGAAUUUACGGUGUAGCAGUGAAAUGCGUAGAGAUCGUAAGGAAGGCCAGUGGCGAAGGCGAGUUCCUGGACAGUUACUGACGCUGAGGCACGAAGGCCAGGGGAGCAAACGGG